CAUUAGAUGACUGAAAGUAAAGUACUGGUCUCUUAAACCAUAAUAUAGUAAAUUAGCGAAUACUUCUAAUG
rnacentral:tRNA from 1 species